UGAGUAACCUGCCCUUAACUCUGGGAUAAGCCUGGGAAACUGGGUCUAAUACCGGAUAUGGCUCCUCAUCGCAUGGUGGGGGGUGGAAAGCUUUUUGUGGUUUUGGAUGGACUCGCGGCCUAUCAGCUUGUUGGUGAGGUAUGGCUCACCAAGGCGACGACGGGUAGCCGGCCUGAGAGGGUGACCGGCCACACUGGGACUGAGACACGGCCCAGACUCCUACGGGAGGCAG
rnacentral:rRNA from 1 species